GACGAACGCUGGCGGCGUGCUUAACACAUGCAAGUCGAACGGAAAGGCCCUGCUUUUGUGGGGUGCUCGAGUGGCGAACGGGUGAGUAACACGUGAGUAACCUGCCCUUGACUUUGGGAUAACUUCAGGAAACUGGGGCUAAUACCGGAUAGGAGCUCCUGCUGCAUGGUGGGGGUUGGAAAGUUUCGGCGGUUGGGGAUGGACUCGCGGCUUAUCAGCUUGUUGGUGGGGUAGUGGCUUACCAAGGCUUUGACGGGUAGCCGGCCUGAGAGGGUGACCGGCCACAUUGGGACUGAGAUACGGACCAGACUCCUACGGGAGGCAGCAGUGGGGAAUAUUGCACAAUGGGCGGAAGCCUGAUGCAGCAACGCCGCGUGCGGGAUGACGGCCUUCGGGUGGUAAACCGCUUUCGCCUGUGACGAAGCGUGAGUGACGGUAAUGGGUAAAGAAGCACCGGCUAACUACGUG
rnacentral:rRNA from 1 species